rnacentral:ncRNA from 1 species
AAUGAAGAUGGUGUUGAAAUCAAGGAAACAUUUUAGGGAAUUCCAUAACUUUUUCCUCUUCAAGAAAUAUCACAGAAAACCUUCCAUCCAAAGUCAACAAAAUUGAAACCCAUUUUUGAGAGUUGUUGGUGCCUCAUCCUAUAACUGACGAAAAUGUUAGGAAAUCCAGAGACAUCGUCGAGGGCCCCGGGAAGAGUUAUAUUUUAUUGUUAAUAGCUUUCCCACCCUGAAAUCGGCUCAACCAAAGAUAGGGUCCAGCAGCUGGAAGAUCAUCACACGUCUUGCGGUGUUCGGUGCACCCUCGAUGACCCUUGAAAAUCUGGAGGACCCAGUACCAUCCAUGCCCGGUCGUACUCAUAACCACAUCAAGUCUCCAAGGUGAACAACCUUU